UACGUAGGGCGCAAGCGUUAUCCGGAAUUAUUGGGCGUAAAGAGCUCGUAGGCGGUUUGUCGCGUCUGCCGUGAAAGUCCGGGGCUCAACUCCGGAUCUGCGGUGGGUACGGGCAGACUAGAGUGAUGUAGGGGAGACUGGAAUUCCUGGUGUAGCGGUGAAAUGCGCAGAUAUCAGGAGGAGCACCGAUGGCGAAGGCAGGUCUCUGGGCAUUAACUGACGCUGAGGAGCGAAAGCAUGAGGAGCGAACAGG
rnacentral:rRNA from 1 species